rfam:Rattus norvegicus chromosome 20, whole genome shotgun sequence.
GGAGUUAGCUCAGUGGUAGAGCGCUUGCCUAGCAAGCACAAGGCCCUGGGUUCGGUCCCCAGCUCCG